UGGGAAAGUCAUUUCAUAGCUCUGAGACUCACAAAAUAGGUUUCAAUCAUAUUAGGAAAAAAGCAAGUGGUGUCCAGGCAUUAUUAUUUUUUAAUUGGGGCAAAUGCAAUUAAUUUUUCCACAAAACUGAAAAACAGAUCUCAGAGGACAACGUAAGGAGUAAACGGAGAUUACAAUGAAGCUCCAGAAGGACUAACACCCCUCUUUUGAGUUGCAAGCAGGUGCUUCAGACGAAAGCGCAGUGAUUCUGUCCUUGGAGCACCUUUAAUUUUAAAUCAGACCAAAGAGCGCCAGCCUUCAAGGAAGACUAACCGCUGAACACACUCAGAGCAUUUCCAGUAUUAUAAAGGCGCUGUGCAGGAGGCUGGAUUUGCUGAUAAGCAGUUUUUUCAUUACAGUACAAAAUCAGCAAGGGCUCUCCUGAUUUGUUGAAGCAAGUCAUGUGUUACAGUGCAGUGGUAAGCUGUGUUAUUCCUGGAAAUACUUCUGAGACCUAAUGAGCCUGUCCAGCUGAAUGGGCCCCGUGCCCCCAGCCACAGCCCUGACUCCUCCGCUGGGCAUCACGGGCAGCGGCUUCUGGGCUACUUGAUACAAGAGCAUCUAGCACAUCGGGGUUUGAAGAACACGGGGCUCUGACGUGUCACAAGGACAGAGACCGGAUCCUUCCCUCCUCCUGAGGGGUUGCUCAGAAAGGGAUCAAAUAAAGGAACUUGAGGCCAGACAGCCUGAUGCGUAUCCCCUCAGUUCCGUGCAGGGGAGAGUGGGGCUGGCAGAGUGCUGGCCUUCAUGCCAAGAUACACACAGCGUGUCAGAACCUGCCUUGAGUGGGCACGUCUAUAAAUAAAUCAUGUCAGAUUUUCUACUGUGCUUUCAGUAUUCAGAGAAGAGCAAAACAGUAAAUACGGAAUAAAAGAGAGCAAUACAUUGAU